AGAGUUUGAUCAUGGCUCAGGAUGAACGCUAGCGGCAGGCCUAAUACAUGCAAGUCGAGGGGCAGCAGGGAUAGCAAUAUUCGCUGGCGACCGGCGCACGGGUGCGUAACACGUAUACAAUCUGCCUUUAACAGGGGGAUAGCCCGGAGAAAUCCGGAUUAAUACCCCAUAACAAUUGGACUGGCAUCAGUUUAAUUUAAAAGCUACGGCGGUUAAAGAUGAGUAUGCGACUGAUUAGCUAGUUGGUGAGGUAACGGCUCACCAAGGCUACGAUCAGUAGGGGAUCUGAGAGGAUUAACCCCCACACGGAUACUGAGACACGGAUCCGACUCCUACGGGAGGCAGCAGUAAGGAAUAUUGGACAAUGCCCGCAAGGGUGAUCCAGCCAUGCCGCGUGCAGGAAGACGGCCCUAUGGGUUGUAAACUGCUUUUACACCGGAGAAAACCUUCCCUCGUGAGGGGAGCUGAUAGUAUGGUGAGAAUAAGCAUCGGCUAACUUCGUGCCAGCAGCCGCGGUA
rnacentral:rRNA from 1 species